rnacentral:pre_miRNA from 1 species
UGGUGUUGAUUCUGGCGGUGAUGAUGAUGAUGGUGAUGAUGAUGAUGAUGAUGGUGAUCAUCAUCAUCAUCCUCAUCAUCAUCAUCAUCAUCACCA